rnacentral:rRNA from 1 species
GGAUUAGAUACCCUGGUAGUCCACGCCGUAAACGAUGAACACUAGAUGUUGGUGUCGAUAGGCAUCAGUGUCGCAGCUAACGCAUUAAGUGUUCCACCUGGGGAGUACGAUCGCAAGGUUGAAACUCAAAGGAAUUGACGGGGGCCCGCACAAGCAGUGGAGCAUGUGGUUUAAUUCGAUGCAACGCGAAGAACCUUACCUAGGCUUGAAAUGCAGUGGACAGGUUGUGAAAGCAAUCCUCUCUUCGGAGCCGCUGUACAGGUGCUGCAUGGCUGUCGUCAGCUCGUGUUG